UACGUAGGGGGCUAGCGUUGUCCGGAUUUAUUGGGCGUAAAGAGCGUGUAGGCGGCCAGGUAGGUCCGGUGUGAAAACUCGAGGCUUAACCUCGAGAUGUCAUCGGAAACCAUCUGGCUAGAGUCCGGAAGAGGAAAGUGGAAUUCCUGGUGUAGCGGUGAAAUGCGCAGAUAUCAGGAAGAACACCAAUGGCGAAAGCAGCUUUCUGGGACGGUACUGACGCUGAGACGCGAAAGC
rnacentral:rRNA from 1 species